rnacentral:lncRNA from 10 species
GUUUUUCUUUUGGAUUAUUUGGUUUUAAAGCUAUCUGGUUGUUGUGGAGUCUUCAAUAUCCCAAUUCCUGUCUUGUUAAACUCAAAGAUUUUGCAUAAUGAAUAGUUGUUGAAAUGUUUUGAAUCCUUCUUGGAAAGAUAGGCGGUCUUUUCAAUUGGGACUCCAUCAGUGGUUCUCAACUCUGGCAGCACAUUGGAAUUACCUAUAAAUAUGAAAGCAAGUCACAAUUUCUAGGACCUACUUGUCAAGAUUAUGAUUUAAUUUGUCGGAGUGUGGGCCAGGACAGAGCUAUGUUUACAAUUUCCCCAGGUGAUUCUGUCACACAGCAAGAGAUGGUAACCAUAACUGUAAAUGUGGGUCCUACAUCAAUAGGAAAAUGUAAAAAUUUAAUUUAUAUGGUCUUUUAUGACCAUAUUCACAGUACAAUUUGGAUUUAACAGAUAGAAAAAAAAAGAACAUAGGGCCUGCUGACAUUUGGAAACACAAAUCCAAAUUGAGCAAGAUGGGCAGUUAGUAAAAUACUGUUGAAUAAGAUUAGAAUUGAAAGUCUUAUAAAUAUGACAGUGUUGACAAAGUUUCCAUUUUGCAACUUAAAAACAAAACAAAACAAUGACAUUUGGGUCACUAAAGAGUGAAUUAAGGAAAGGAAGUGAAUAAAAAUCAUCUCCAUUCUAGUGCCUGGUGUUUACAUCUUCAGAUACUUAAGAGAAACAUUCUCUAUUUGGGAUUGACAAAUAAUACUGACAUUCACUGAGAAGUUAACUAUGGUAGAAUGUAUUUCACAGGUUAACUUUUUAACUUGUCAGAGCAAUGCUAAGAAGGAUGCUAUUAUUAUUCCAGUUCUGCAGAGCUGAGACUGAAGUACAGAGGAGUUCAAUGAUGUGGCCAAGUCUAUGAGACUGCUAAUUAUUAGUAAGUCAGUCUGAUCCAGUUUGACUCCAAAGCCUACUUGCAUGACCUCUAUACCUAUCUCUGUUUCUAUGUCAAGUAACCUAGGUAAAAUGCACCAAGGUUAAUAACCAAUGCCAGGAUGUGUUGUGAAGGAAAAGCAACUUAUUCUUCUCUCAGUCUUGUAAAUCUGUCUCUCCUUCCACAUGAGCUUCUGCAAUGAGCUUGCUUUAUACGUAAUCCAUGGAGAUUGUCUCACUGCCUGCCCUUUGCAGAGGCCAACUGGGGUCUCUGGAAGGAAUAAAGAGGUGUGAUGAAAAGACAGCUAUUUAAAAAACCAUACCUUUCAUUUAUACCCUGUGAAAAUAUAAAAUGCUCUUUGAUAUUUACCUACCUAGGUGAUAGUAUCUUCCUGUGAGAAUUCCUAACAAUACAAUUCAGAAGCAU